GCCUCCGUAGCUCAGCUGGUAGAGCACUUCACUCGUAAUGAAGGGGUCAGCGGUUCGAGUCCGCUCGGAGGCU
rnacentral:tRNA from 2 species